rnacentral:rRNA from 1 species
GACGAACGCUGGCGGCGUGCUUAACACAUGCAAGUCGAACGAAGAGCGAUGGAAGCUUGCUUCUAUCAAUCUUAGUGGCGAACGGGUGAGUAACGCGUAAUCAACCUGCCCUUCAGAGGGGGACAACAGUUGGAAACGACUGCUAAUACCGCAUACGAUCUAAUCUCGGCAUCGAGGAUAGAUGAAAGGUUGCCUCUACAUGUAAGCUAUCACUGAAGGAGGGGAUUGCGUCUGAUUAGCUAGUUGGAGGGGUAACGGCCCACCAAGGCGAUGAUCAGUAGCCGGUCUGAGAGGAUGAACGGCCACAUUGGGACUGAGACACGGCCCAGACUCCUACGGGAGGCAGCAGUGGGGAAUCUUCCGCAAUGGACGAAAGUCUGACGGAGCAACGCCGCGUGAGUGAUGACGGCCUUCGGGUUGUAAAGCUCUGUUAAUCGGGACGAAAGGCCUUCUUGCGAACAGUUAGAAGGAUUGACGGUACCGGAAUAGAAAGCCACGGCUAACUACGUG